rnacentral:lncRNA from 1 species
AGCGACACUUGACAGAGGACCAAGAUGGAGGACGGACCUGGUGUUCCAUUACUUAGCACCCCUGAAAAUAACAGCCUGAGGCAUCGUGUUUUCCAGGAUGCUUCAAGGACCAACAAUACAUCUCUGUGUGACAGGUUCAGACUUGACUAUACAGACCGUCCAGCAACCAGAGAAACACUGUUGACGUGUGGGAGACACUUUCUCCAUCACUGCCUAAAGUGGACUGGACUGGACCUGAUGUUAACUAGAAUGAAGUUGGCAUGGGCAUAAAGUGAACUGUAUCUGAAGCUAACUGGACCUCAAGUGAACUGGAUUUGAAGUUAACUGGAGCCUAAAUUAUGGGUCAGAGGCAGCUGAAUGAAGCUAGAAACAUCAUUUUUGUGUGGACCAGUGACUGAAUACACCCCGGGUAAAGACACCACUUGAACUAUGGGAGAAGAAGUCGCCUCGGGCAACGGCAGCAGCGGAAAUGCGAUCCGGGAGACGGAGCAAGUCAGAAGGCGGACACGAAGAACGACCUCCGCGGAACAACCGUAGAUCGUCGCUUCGUCACCGCCCGCGACACGUUCCGUACGCUCUCUGCGGAGACGGGUCGGCGAGUACCGCUCUCAAACUCAGUCACCCGACACGAGUCAGAAACGACAUUUUUUGCGGACCGGCGACUCGACGGACCCCGGCCGAGGACGCCGCUCGAACCGCGGGAGUUACGGUUGCGGCCGAGCGUGGCGAUACGAGUCGGAGACGGAUCGUACAGUCGGCGCGCGAGAGCGUUUUGGACGAAGACACCGCUCGACUCGCGAGGAAGAUGCUCCGGAACACGGGAAGAAUACACCGACGAAUGCAGGAAGAUACUCGUCAACGCAGAAGAAGACGCGCAUCAAUGUGGCAUCGCGACGUGCCGGGCCAGUUUGAUCGUUUUAAAGACGAUUCGACGUGUAAAAUGAAUGCACGUGUUGUUUGUAACGAUUGUUAUAAUGUUUGUAGUAUUGUUUUUAGACACUGACUUUGUGAAGAUGGAGGAAGUUGAUAUAUAUUGAGAAUGAAUUUAUUGAAGAUGUUGCCUGUGAUCACUAGGCGUUUGCACUAAUUUGGCGAGAAGAUUAUCACCGUAGACACGUUGCAAAUAGAUUGUAGCACGUCACUUGUGGCGGGACACGUACGUAAAUAACGGCAGCGUAAAUACGAGACGACGCGGCGGCGGGGACGUGCGUGUUUUGAAAGUAAAAGAAUGGGGGAGAUUGGACCGACAUAGAUAGUGUUGUUGAGAUAACUGAUAAGAAUGUAGAAAUGAUGACUAUUUGGUUGAGUUAUGAGAAGGGGAAGAUAGUUGGUGGGUUUUUUUUAGGACAGAAAGAGUAGUUAUAUAUUAGUGAAGAUAUAAAGUAAAAGGCGAUAAGGACGGUGGGGGGGGACAACGAACGAUACGUUUCGUAGGAUAUUAAAGGAAUUGACGUGCGAUCGCCGAGUCGGCGUAGUGGCAUAAUUGUGAAAAACAGAUGCGAUGGGGAUUUUGAAGAGAGAAGAAGUUGCGCGGUAGAGGAUUUGCGGGGAAAUUGGCGGAAGCGACGAUCGUAAUUUUGCGAAGGACGAGUCGAGGAUCGGUUACGGGAGACGAUUCAACGAAUGACGUUUCGAUGCGGGACGGGCGACGACGAAUUUAGUAAAUGGCGGUUUAGGGAAGGGUCGCACGUAAAGUGGCGGGUGCGGGUAUUUGUGGACGCAGACGACGCGGGCACGAGGAAAGUCGGAGAAUAGACGGGACCGCGCACGGAGACGAGGCGGCGCACGAACGGAAGUCUCCGAGGCACCGCAGGGAAAUACGGAAGCGCACCCGCGAGACGCGUAAAGAACGGUUUUGAAGUAGAGUCUCGCGUUUGAAACGGUCGGAAGGAGUAAAAAUAGGUCCGACGGGGGCAGUCGGUUUGAGAGCGGACGGUCGCGGAAUGCGCGCGGGUACCUAUUUUGACGCCGCGAUAUUUAGCAGUGAGGAAAUAUGCGAUGCAGCAGUAAUAUAUUUUUGGUUAAUAGUAGUUUCAUUUAUUUGUUACGAAUUUAUACCGGUUCACCCGUACUCUGUGUCGUUGCACUCGUGUUAAGGUGUCUAUCGUCAACGCGUUUGUAUAAUAAUAAAAUUUGGGGGACGAGUACGACGAGUUGAAGGGGAAGGAAUACGAGCACAAUGUUUAUUUUGUAAGGUCUCCUUUUUUUCGUUUUUUCCCUGUGCCUCUCUGUCCUCCUCCUCCCUUCCCUCCUGCUCCUUUUUUUAUGUCUUUCUUGUUCAUCGUGUGGUUUGUUGUCCCUCCCUUCGUGGUUCUCCCCCCUUCCUGUUCGUCUCCCUCCUCCUCUUUUCCCGCUUUUCUUAUUUUACUCCUUUUGUUCGCCUUAUCUGUUCCUUCUUUCGUUGUUUAUUCUUUUGUUCCUUCUCCCUCUGUUGCUCUUGCUCCGUUUGUUCCUCCUCUGUUUCACUGUGAUGCCCUUUGUGUUCGUUGCCCUGUCAUUCCUCUUGAUUGUUUCCUUACUCCCCUUUGUUCGUUUUUUCCCUUGCCCCCUUCAUCCCCCUCUGUUGGUCGUUUUUGUGUCCCUUUAUACGUGUGUUGUUACCAUUUGAAUUAGUUGUUGUAUUACUGCUGCUUUGUGUAUUUUCGAAUGUAGUUAUUUGUGUUGUUAUAAAUAUGGUGUGUGAAGUAGAUAUUUGAAUAAAUUUUGUUGUUAAGAAGAGGAGGAGUUAUAUUUAGAAUUGUAAAGUAAUUGUUAUGGAGGAGGAGAACGCGCGUAACGUUUUCAGUUUGAAUACGCAGUCGCGUGGAGAAAUGCGCACCGCGAAUCGUCGCGUUGCGUUUGGGUAGUUAUAUAUUGGGAAAUAGUUUAAGUUGAGAUAUUAAGGAGUUGAAGAAUGUAAGUUAAUGUCGUGGACUUGUAAAAUUGACGAGAAUGAAAGUUUUUAUUGUGGAGUAGUUAUUGAUUUCAAUUUGAAGGGAGUCAAUUGCUCACUCUGAAUAUUUUGUCGGGAGUUCCGCGUCGAUUGCGAAUUUGGCGCGUCGUUUCAAUCGAUUGGAAUGGCCGUAAUAAAUCGUCGGAGUCGUCGAGUUAUUUUUUUGUCGUUAGAGAUAUAUUUGUGGAGUUGUAAAAAAUGUCGUGUCGUCGAGGAAAGUUAAUCGUGCGCGGAUUGGGUUUUGACGUAAAUUUACGGAAGCGAAGCGAGGACGCGUAAUGUAUUUUGACGUGUAAUUCAUUUCGGUCGAGUUACGUGUAGACUUGGAAUAUUUGUAGACUCGUAUAUUUUUGUUUGUAAUUGAUUGAAGGUAUUUGUAGUUUGAAAAAUGUUUUGACUUGUUGUUGUUUGAUUAUAGUAUAGUUAUUUGUGGAGUUUGAAUGUAUUUUGUUUUGUGGACUUGUAAAAUGUGUUGCAUGUAUGUGGAUUUUGAAUAAUUGAUAUCUUUUGUGGACUUUGUAUAUUUUUGAUGUGUGUGGAGUGAAAUGUUGUAGUUGUUAGUGGACUUGAAAUUGUUAACCUUUGAAUAAUUUAUAAUGUGUGUUGACUUUGAAUUUGUUUUGCCUUCUGUGGACUCGGUAUAUUUUUUACGUGCGUGGGUGGACCGAGAAAUGUAUCCGUCACGUCGGAGGACUCGGAUUAACGUAUUAUGCCCGUGGACUUUGAGUAAUUUCUUAUCCUGUGUGGACUUUGAAUAAUUUAUGAUGUUUGUGUACUUUGAAUAUUUUGUAUCGUUUGUACAUUUGGAAUAAUGUAUAAUGUUUUUGGACUUGGAAUAAUUUGCAGUGUAUGUGGACUUUGAAUAUUGUUUGUGGACUUAGAAUAUUUGUCAUCUUUUGUGGAGUUUGAAAAUUUCUCAUUGUUUGUGUACUUGUAAUAAUUUUCAAUUUAUGUGGACAUAGAAUAAAUGAUAAUGUUUGUGGACUUAAAAUAAUUUUGUAUCUUGUGUGGCCUUUGAAUAUUUGUUAUCCUUUGUGGAGUUAGAAAAUUUGUCAUUGUUUGUGUAGUUAGAAUAAUGUUCAAUUUAUGUGGACUUGUAAUAAUUUUCAAUUUAUGUGGAUUUUGAAUAAUUGAUAAUGUUUGUGGACUUAGGAUAAUUUUUUGUAUCCUUUGUGGAAUUAGUAUAAUUUUCAUGUAUGUGGACUUGGUAUUAUUUUAUCCUUUGUGGACUUAGUAUAAUUUUCAUGUAUGUGGACUUUGAAUAUUUGGUAUCCUGUGUGGACAUAGAAAAAUUAUUCAUCCUUUGUGGACUUAGUAUUUUUUAUCCUUUGUGUAUUUGGUAUUUUGUUAUAAUGUUUGUGGACUUAGAAUAUUUUGUAUCCUGUGUGGACAUAGAAAAUUGUUCAUCUUUUGUGGACUUAGUAUUUUUGUAUCUUUUGUGGACUUGGAAAAAUUUUCAUGCCUUGUGGACUUAGAAAAUUUAUUCAUUUGUUGUGGACUUAUAAUAAUUUGUUCAAUGUGUGUGGACUUAGAAAAAAUAAUGUGUGGAUUUAGAAUAUUUGUUGUCCUUUGUGGACUUAGUAUAUUUUUCAUGGCUUGUAGAGUUCGAAAAAUUUUUCACUUGUGGGUUUAUAAUAAUUUUUUCAAUGUGUGGAGUUAGAAGAAAUUAAUAAGUUUGUGGACUUCGAAAAUUUGUUCCUUUGUUGUGGACUUAUAAUAAUUUGUUCAAUGUGUGUGGACUUAGAAAAAAUAAUGUGUGAAGUUAGAAUUUUUUUUAUCCUUUGUGGAUUUAGAAAAAUUUCGUAUCCUGUGUGGACUUAGAAAAAUGUUCAACCUUUGUGGACUUGGUAUUUUUUAUCCUUUGUGGACUUAGAAUAUUUUUCAUGUGUGGACUUGGAAAAUUUCUCAUCCCUUGUGGACUUAGAAAAUGUUUUUCUUUGUGGACUUAUUUUUGUAUCCUUUGUGGACUUGGAAAGUUUUUCAUGCCUUGUGGACUUAGAAAAAUUUUUUAUUUGUUGUGGGCUUAUAAUUUUUUCAAUGUGUAUGGACUUAGAAUAUUUUUUAUCCUUUGUGGACUUAGAAGAAAUUACUAAAUUUGUGGACUUGGAAAAAUUUUCAACUUUUGUGGACUUAGUAUUUUUAUAAUGUAUGUGGACUUAGAAAAUUUGUCAUCCUUUGUGGACUUAGAAAAAAUUUUAAUGCUUGUGUACUUAGAAAAAUUUUACAUGUUGUGGACUUAAUAUUUUUUUAUCCUUUGUGGACUUAGAAUAUUUUGUGUGUUGUGGACUAAGUCUUUUUAUCAUGUGUGUGGACUUAGUAUAUUUUUCAUGUGUUGUGGACUUAGAAUAAUUUUUAUGUUUUGUGGACUUAGAAAAUUUCUCAUCCUUUGUAGACUUAGUAUUUUUAUCAUGUGUGUGGAUUUAGAACAAUUUCUGUGUUGUGGACUAAGAAAUGUUUUCAAUGUUUGUGGACUUACAAUAUUUUGCAUCUUUUGUAGACUUCAAAUUUUUUUUUGCAUGUAUGUGGACAGAAAAAUUUUCAAUGUACUGUAUAAUAAAAGGAAGCAUAUAA